rnacentral:rRNA from 1 species
AUUGAACGCUGGCGGCAGGCCUAACACAUGCAAGUCGAGCGGUAACAGAUCUAGCUUGCUAGAUGCUGACGAGCGGCGGACGGGUGAGUAACGCGUAGGAAUCUGCCCGGUAGCGGGGGAUAGCCCAGAGAAAUUUGGAUUAAUACCGCAUACGCCCUAAGGGGGAAAGGAGGGGACUCUUCGGAGCCUUCCACUAUCGGAUGAGCCUGCGUCGGAUUAGCUUGUUGGUGGGGUAAUGGCCUACCAAGGCGACGAUCCGUAGCUGGUCUGAGAGGAUGAUCAGCCACACCGGAACUGAGACACGGUCCGG